CAGGGGUUAGUUUAUUAUAUAAAAUAUCGGUUUUGGAGACCGAAGUUAGGAAAGUUUCCUCUCCCUGA
rnacentral:tRNA from 1 species